rnacentral:tRNA from 1 species
GGGUCAUUAGCUCAAUUGGUAGAGCAGCGGACUCUUAAUCCGUUUGUUAUAGGUUCGAGUCCUAUAUGGCCUACCA